rnacentral:lncRNA from 1 species
AUGAGAGCUGUCGGUGUUUUGCUGUGCUUUUCUGUGUUUACGGGAGUCUUCAUGGAGGAUAAAGAAGCCCCACGUUUUCAAGCAUGUCUCGGGCUUGAGGUGUAUGAGGGGGCGGAGUCUGUCAUGCUGCCCUGUCAGGUACCAGAGGAUGUUUACUGGGACGCCACUGCAGUGGUUUGGGAUCGCAAGGACCUCAGCAUCCCAACAGUCCAUCUGCGUCUGCAGAGCGGGGAUGAUCUCACGAAACAGAAUGUUAUUUACUUCAACCGAACAUCGAUGAGAGCCGACGCUCUGCAGACUGGAGACCUCAGCCUCACUCUGAGGAACCCCAUAGUCAAUGACACCGGCACCUACACCUGCACCACCCGAAGAUAUGGACAAGAUCAGAGCAAGACCCAUUUGCAACUGAAGGUGGCAGAACGUCCUCCUCCUGGUCCCACUCCUCCUCCAGUCUGGCCCAAAGUUGUCUCGGGUGUCCUGGUUCCUGUGGUUCUCCUGGCUGUUGGCUUUGGUGUCUUCAUGUAUUUUAGAUAUAAAAAGUUAAAGAACAAAGAAGUCGUUCAGGUCACAGCAGAACCAGGUGAUGAGUCCGUUGUGCUGUCCUGCAGAAGCACAGUUCAGCCCCUGCCUGAUGGUGCUAAAGUGGAGUGGAAGGACAGAAAUGAGAGGAAGGUCCACAUAUAUCAGAAAGACUCUGAGCAGGCUGAAAAACCGCACAGACGUUACAGAAACCGAACAGAGAUGAAGAAAGACCCACAGAAGACUGGAGACCUCAGUCUGACCCUGAAAUACCCCACAAACACAGACAGAGACACCUACACCUGCACCGUCUACAACGGGGAGGGAAAAGAACUAAUGGAGAAACAGGUGGAGCUGAAAAUCAAAGAGUGUCAGGUGGAGGUGGUGGAGGGGGUGGAGUCUGUCCUGCUGCCCUUCAAAACCACAGAAAACCUGCCUGAGGACAGUGAUGUGGAGUGGAAACGGCAUGAACCCGAAUACAUGAAGGUCUAUGUGUAUGAGAACGGCUCUGAUCGGCCCGACAAACAGGACGACCAUUACAGAGGUCGCACUGAGAUGAAGAAAGACCUGCUGAACACUGGAGACCUCAGUCUGACCCUGGGACACCCCACAGUGGGAGAUAGUGGGAGAUACGCCUGUGAGGUCAACAGCAAGGGAGCCUGGAGAUACAAGAGGGUGUGGCUCACAGUUAAAGGGAGAGAUCAGGUCCAGGAUCAAGCCGAGGACAACAACACUAUUGAAAUGACUCCUCUGAUGGACCAACAAUCAGCUUAAUCUGACUGGUCUGUGAGUCAGAGAGAAAACGCCAGUAAUGGACUGAAGGGGAUGAAGAGGGAACGAUGCUGAGUUCCUCCACGUUCU